rnacentral:tRNA from 1 species
GCCUGGAUGGCGGAACGGUAGACGCUGAGGACUUAAAAUCCUCUGAUCGUAAGAUCGUGCGGGUUCGAGUCCCGCUCUAGGCACCA